rnacentral:rRNA from 1 species
UACGUAGGGGGCUAGCGUUGUCCGGAAUCAUUGGGCGUAAAGAGCGUGUAGGCGGUCCGGUAAGUCCGCUGUGAAAGUCGGGGGCCCAACCCUCGAAUGCCGGUGGAUACUGUCGGGCUAGAGUACGGAAGAGGCGAGUGGAAUUCCUGGUGUAGCGGUGAAAUGCGCAGAUAUCAGGAGGAACACCUAUUGCGAAGGCAGCUCGCUGGGACGUAACUGACGCUGAGACGCGAAAGCGUGGGGAGCAAACAGG